CCCCAGGUGAGCUCAGUCGGUAGAGCGUGAGACUCUUAAUCUCCGGGUCAUGGGUUCGAGCCCCAUGUUGGGGU
rnacentral:tRNA from 1 species